UGGGGGAUAUUGCACAAUGGGGGAAACCCUGAUGCAGCAACGCCGCGUGAGGGAAGAAGGUUUUCGGAUUGUAAACCUCUGUUCUUAGUGACGAUAAUGACGGUAGCUAAGGAGAAAGCUCCGGCUAACUACGUGCCAGCAGCCGCGGUAAUACGUAGGGAGCGAGCGUUGUCCGGAUUUACUGGGUGUAAAGGGUGCGUAGGCGGCGAGGCAAGUCAGGCGUGAAAUCUAUGGGCUUAACCCAUAAACUGCGCUUGAAACUGUCUUGCUUGAGUGAAGUAGAGGUAGGCGGAAUUCCCGGUGUAGCGGUGAAAUGCGUAGAGAUCGGGAGGAACACCAGUGGCGAAGGCGGCCUACUGGGCUUUAACUGACGCUGAAGCACGAAAGCAUGGGUAGCAAA
rnacentral:rRNA from 1 species